CUUCCUCUAUUUUCUCUCAUCCGUCUUCAUCAAAUUGGGGAUCAUCAUCAGGAAGAACAACAGAUGUUCACAAAAUUAAACCCAAACCCUACCUUUUAAAUACAACCCCAAUUUAUGCAUCCAGAUCCACUCAUCCUCAUGUCUUCAUCCGUCUCCCAGACCCACUCAUCCUCCUCCGUCUUCAUCAAUUUCUCUCUCUCUUUCCCAACCCACUCAUCCUCCUCUUCCUUCGUGCUGUGCAGUCAAUGGUCUCAGUGGCUGUGCAGGGAUUGUUCUCUGUUGCUGUGGUUCCAUGACUGACUCUCCCUCUCCCUCUCCCUCUCCCUCUCCCUCUCCCUCUUACAGAAAUUGAAAGAUGAUGAUGAUAGGGAUUGAGUGUUGCAUUUAAUUUACUCUGCCCCUCUAAUGACUACUGUACCUGUUGAUUUUUUCUUUUUUCUCCCUAGCCAGUAGCCAAAGCCUUCUCUACAAUUUGCUGUCAGAGGG
rnacentral:lncRNA from 1 species